rnacentral:rRNA from 1 species
UGGGGAAUAUUGCACAAUGGGCGCAAGCCUGAUGCAGCCAUGCCGCGUGUAUGAAGAAGGCCUUCGGGUUGUAAAGUACUUUCAGCGGGGAGGAAGGGAGUAAAGUUAAUACCUUUGCUCAUUGACGUUACCCGCAGAAGAAGCACCGGCUAACUCCGUGCCAGCAGCCGCGGUAAUACGGAGGGUGCAAGCGUUAAUCGGAAUUACUGGGCGUAAAGCGCACGCAGGCGGUUUGUUAAGUCAGAUGUGAAAUCCCCGGGCUGAACCUGGGAACUGCAUCUGAUACUGGGAAGCUUGAGUCUCGUAGAGGGGGGUAGAAUUCCAGGUGUAGCGGUGAAAUGCGUAGAGAUCUGGAGGAAUACCGGUGGCGAAGGCGGCCCCCUGGACAAAGACUGACGCUCAGGUGCGAAAGCGUGGGGAGCAAACAGG